UUAAGAGGUCUUCAGGGUUGUAACGGGGCUUAGGUACGGUGGGAGAGUAGACAACAAAAUGGAUUACAAAAGGUUUUACAACUCGACAUUCAUGCUUUUGUUUUUCUUUGUGUAAAAUUUUUAUUUUUGGGGUGUCGUCAAAUCUUCACUCUUUUUCCACUCAACUUCAUUUUAAUGCACGAGUCUAUUUCUAAGGCAAGUGAUUAUUUUUUUUCAUUUCUUUUUCUUUUUUUUCGGUAGAAGCGGAUGUUUCUACACACUUUUUCUCUUUUUUUUUCUUUUCCUUGCACUUGCCAUUUUUCAACAACAUUUUC
rnacentral:lncRNA from 1 species